rnacentral:rRNA from 1 species
CGAACGAUGAACCUCCUUCGGGAGGGGAUUAGUGGCGAACGGGUGAGUAACACGUGGGCAAUCUGCCCUGCACUCUGGGACAAGCCCUGGAAACGGGGUCUAAUACCGGAUACUGAUCAUCUUGGGCAUCCUUGGUGAUCGAAAGCUCCGGCGGUGCAGGAUGAGCCCGCGGCCUAUCAGCUUGUUGGUGAGGUAAUGGCUCACCAAGGCGACGACGGGUAGCCGGCCUGAGAGGGCGACCGGCCACACUGGGACUGAGACACGGCCCAGACUCCUACGGGAGGCAGCAGUGGGGAAUAUUGCACAAUGGGCGAAAGCCUGAUGCAGCGACGCCGCGUGAGGGAUGACGGCCUUCGGGUUGUAAACCUCUUUCAGCAGGGAAGAAGCGAAAGUGACGGUACCUGCAGAAGAAGCGCCGGCUAACUACGUGCCAGCAGCCGCGGUAAUACGUAGGGCGCGAGCGUUGUCCGGAAUUAUUGGGCGUAAAGAGCUCGUAGGCGGCUUGUCGCGUCGGUUGUGAAAGCCCGGGGCUUAACCCCGGGUCUGCAGUCGAUACGGGCAGGCUAGAGUUCGGUAGGGGAGAUCGGAAUUCCUGGUGUAGCGGUGAAAUGCGCAGAUAUCAGGAGGAACACCGGUGGCGAAGGCGGAUCUCUGGGCCGAUACUGACGCUGAGGAGCGAAAGCGUGGGGAGCGAACAGGAUUAGAUACCUGGUAGUCCACGCCGUAAACGGUGGGCACUAGGUGUGGGCGACAUUCCACGUCGUCCGUGCCGCAGCUAACGCAUUAAGUGCCCCGCCUGGGGAGUAC